GUGAGGAAUAUUGGUCAAUGGACGAGAGUCUGAACCAGCCAAGUAGCGUGAAGGAUGACUGCCCUAUGGGUUGUAAACUUCUUUUAUAAGGGAAUAAAGUGAGGGACGUGUCCCUUUUUGUAUGUACCUUAUGAAUAAGGAUCGGCUAACUCCGUGCCAGCAGCCGCGGUAAUACGGAGGAUCCAAGCGUUAUCCGGAUUUAUUGGGUUUAAAGGGAGCGUAGGUUGACGUAUAAGUCAGCUGUGAAAGUUUACGGCUCAACCGUGAAAUUGCAGUUGAUACUGUAUGUCUUGAGUGUACAAGAGGUGGGCGGAAUUCGUGGUGUAGCGGUGAAAUGCUUAGAUAUCACGAAGAACUCCAAUUGCGAAGGCAGCUCACUGGGGUACAACUGACACUGAGGCUCGAAAGUGUGGGUAUCAAACAGGAUUAGAUACCCCUGUAGUCC
rnacentral:rRNA from 1 species